rnacentral:lncRNA from 1 species
UGGGAACAAGUUGUUUCCGCCCCAUUUGUUUAAAAUAUUUUAAAAUUUUAAAAUUUUAAUUUUAAUUUUAAUUUUAAUUUAAAAAAAUUAUAAUUUGUAAUUUCAUAAUUAAAGUUUAUUAUUUUAAAUUUUAAAUUUUAAAUUUUAAAUUUUAAUUUGAUAUUUUAUAUUUUUUAAAUUUAAAUUUUGAUAUUUAUAUAUUAAAAUUUAAAUUUGAUUUAAAAUUUAAAAUUUAAAUUUUAAAUUUUAAAAUUUGAAAUUUAAAAGUUGAGAGUUUAAUUUUAGAUUUUGAAAUUUAAAAGUUAAAAUUUUAAAUUUAAAAAUAAAAUAAAAAAUUUAAAAAUUUCAAAUUUCAAAUUCAAAUAUAAUGAGAGAGAUAAUAUCUUUUUCUAUUUACAACUAUUCAAUAUCCUUCUUAUUCUAUCUUAUUUAACCAAACGCUAUUUUUUUUAUUCUAAAAAAUAAUCCAAUUUUUAUCCAAACGCAAAAUUAAUCUAAUCCCCUCUUAUACCUCAAUUUAUACCUAUCCCUGAAAUAGCCAUUUUUUACUUAUCCCCGAACCAAACGAUAUCUUAAAUAAUAUUCAUGUGGUUUCAUACUUUUUUAUUUUAGUAUUCUGUGGUUUAAAUUAUAUCAAUUUAGUGCCCUGUUGUUUUAUUUUUUUUCUUUUUAUUAUCCCCUCUAUUAUUUUUUUUCGUUAAAUCAGUAACAAAGUUAAAACUAAAAUGUACUAAAGUAAAUAUUUGAUAAAUUUAAGUAGUAAAUAUUUGAUAAAUUUAAGUAGAGAAUCUAAAGAUUUUGAAUAGAAUUUAACGAAAUGUUAACGGAGUAGCAGACGAAAAGAAAAAAUGAAACUAUAGGGUACUGAAUUGAUACACUUUAAACCACAGCGUACUAAAGUAAAAAAAGUACGAAACCACAUAAAUGAUAUUUAAAAUUUACUUUCAAAAUAAUAAAUAUAUUAAUAGUAUUAUGUGGUACGUGUACACUUUACACUUUAUACAGAGAUGUACAUGGCUAAAAAAAAAAAUUGAUACCACAAGUGAAGAGAUUUUGCUAAAAAUAAAUCUAAAUUACUGUGUAAAUAUCGAUUAAAAAAAUUAUUUAAUAAUAUUAAUUAGAAAGUAAUAAUAUAAAAAUCCUAAUCCUGCGUUGUGUGUGACGUAAUUAAGGCUUAGUUUGGUAUUGAGGUCUAUCUAACGCUAUUAGAUAAAAUAGAGUUGAGGAAAAAACAUAUAGGGAUAUGCUUCUGCGUUCUGGUGGACCGUAGAAAAUAUAUCGUAACCGACUCAUCACGAUAUGCGGAAUACAAUUUUACGUACGAAAAUAAAUAGGUAUUUUUUCAUCGUAUUUUUUCACCGCACGUAACGCAAUCUCUCCGCAAGCGCAAACGAAGCCUAAGAUUAUAAUUAUUAUUAUUAUUACUUUUGUG